UGGAAAUGAUGAAACAGAGAUAACUGGGUGCAUUUGAAUGGUGUGUGAUUUGAGCAUUAUUAAAUUUAUUAUCAAAUUAAGUAAACAUCUAAAAUGGGGGGGGGGGGGUGAAGGGGCGCGUGUGUGUGUGUAUGCAUGCAUGGGUGUAAAUGUAAAGGCUAAGGAAAGGGAGCCCUGACUGACAAUGCAGAUAUCGGAGUGCAUCUGAGGCUGUUGUAAAAAUACAUGUUUAUUACAGCUUUGCCAAUGAUUAUAACUCAGGAACAGCUCACUUACCUGCCUCACACCCCUACAGUCUCUAACAGGUUCAUAAAUGUGGACCUGUGAUCUGAUCCAU
rnacentral:snoRNA from 1 species